UGGGGAAUAUUGCGCAAUGGGCGCAAGCCUGAUGCAGCAACGCCGCGUGAGGGACGACGGCCUUCGGGUUGUAAACCUCUUUUGGCAGGGAAGAAGCGAAAGUGACGGUACCUGCAGAAAAAGCACCGGCUAACUACGUGCCAGCAGCCGCGGUGAUACGUAGGGUGCAAGCGUUGUCCGGAAUUAUUGGGCGUAAAGAGCUCGUAGGCGGUUUGUCGCGUCUGCUGUGAAAACCCGAGGCUCAACCUCGGGCCUGCAGUGGGUACGGGCAAACUAGAGUGCGGUAGGGGGGAUUGGAAUUCCUGGUGUAGCGGUGGAAUGCGCAGAUAUUAGGAGGAACACCGAUGGCGAAUGCAGAUCUCUGGGCCGUAACUGACGCUGAGGAGCGAAAGCAUGGGGAGCGAACA
rnacentral:rRNA from 1 species